rnacentral:rRNA from 1 species
UACGUAGUGUGCAAGCGUUAAUCGGAAUUACUGGGCGUAAAGCGUGCGCAGGCGGUUGUGUAAGACAGAUGUGAAAUCCCCGGGCUCAACCUGGGAACUGCAUUUGUGACUGCACGGCUCGAGUGCGGCAGAGGGGGAUGGAAUUCCGCGUGUAGCAGUGAAAUGCGUAGAUAUGCGGAGGAACACCGAUGGCGAAGGCAAUCCCCUGGGCCUGCACUGACGCUCAUGCACGAAAGCGUGGGGAGCAAACAGG